rnacentral:rRNA from 1 species
AACGAACGCUGGCGGCGUGGAUUAGGCAUGCAAGUCGAACGGUAGGAUACCUUCGGGUAUCUGAGAGUGGCGAACGGGUGAGUAACACGUAGGUGAUCUACCCUCAAGAUUGGGACAACCCAGGGAAACUUGGGCUAAUACCGGAUGAAAGCAGCAGUGAUGUUGUUUGAAAGGUGGCGUAAGCUGCCGUUUGGGGAUGAGCCUGCGCUCUAUUAGUUAGUUGGCGGGGUAAAGGCCCACCAAGGCGAUGAUAGAUAGGCGGCCUUAACGGGUGGUCGCCCACACUGGGAUUGAGAUACGGCCCAGACUCCUACGGGAGGCAGCAGUCGAGAAUAGUCUACAAUGGCCGAAAGGCUGAUAGUGCGACGCCGCGUGAACGAAGAAGCCCUUCGGGUGUAAAGUUCUUUAUUAUGUGAGCAGUGCUUUCUAUGUGAACAGCAUGGGGAGAGAGAUAUUAGCAUAUGAAUAAGCAACGGCUAACUCCGUGCCAGCACG